GAAUUUAAACCUCUUCCAGAGUAUCAAUUGGAGGGCAAGUCUGGUGCCAGCAGCCGCGGUAAUUCCAGCUCCAAUAGCGUAUAUUAAAAUUGUUGCAGUUAAAAAGCUCGUAGUUGAAUUUCUGCUGCAUUGCUUUUGCUCCUUUACGAGUCUUUGCAUUGUGGCUUAUUUCGGACUUUGUUUUACAAUGUCCGGAUGUUUACUUUGAGAAAAUUAGAGUGCUCAAAGCAGGCUUUCGCCUUGAAUAGUUUAGCAUGGAAUAAUAAAGUAGGACUUUGGUUCUAUUUUGUUGGUUUUAGGUACCAAAGUAAUGGUUAAUAGGAACAGUUGGGGGCAUUCGUAUUUAACUGUCAGAGGUGAAAUUCUUAGAUUUGUUAAAGACGAACUACUGCGAAAGCAUUUGCCAAGGAUGUUUUCAUUAAUCAAGAACGAAAGUUAGGG
rnacentral:rRNA from 1 species